CAUAUACCCUGGGCCGAACCGAUAUGGAACCAUCCCCGCUCGACGGCCCGAGUCCAACUUGGGGUGCGGCGGAGCGGCGCCGGCGUACGGGCGCCAGCACCACCCACCUGCAUCAUUCGCCGACCACCGAUGCAGUCGAGACAGGAUGGGCCGAUGCCCGAUGGGGGGCAGUCAGCACGCCGCCGCCGCGGGCCGCACGAACGGUAAGGAUCUCGUGCCCCGUGACCUGCGUGGGAUGGCGCCGCUGACCCCCGUCUGUGUCUGUCAUCGGGGUUCGGCAUUCCAUCAAACACCUCUCGUUCACCGGCGGCGAGCACGGAGUGUCACUUUCAGUAACUAGUUUGGGUGAGCUUUGUCGAGCAACCCUGUGUGUUGCAGACUUGCAGUCUUUGUAGUUUGUAAUACUCCUAGUUGUUUUAUUGGUUCAAAUGCACUUGGUAACUUGGUUCAAUUUUGUAAGUUCGUUGCUUCGGUGAUGAAAUUUGGGACGAACCCGUUCUGGGAGAAAAACAACAUUCCAGUAACUAGCAGCUUACUGUACGAAUUGACCAAUUGGGUAUGACACUGAUGUCCCAAUGCCUGUCAUGGUGUUCAUUCUGUUUCA